rnacentral:rRNA from 1 species
GAUGAACGCUGGCGGCGUGCUUAACACAUGCAAGUCGAACGGAAAGGCCUCUUUCGGGGGGUACUCGAGUGGCGAACGGGCGAGUAACACGUGAGUAACCUGCCCUUGACUUUGGGAUAACUUCAGGCAACUGGGGCUAAUACCGGAUAGGUGCUCCUGCUGCAUGGAGGGGGCUGGAAAGUUUCGGCGGUUGGGGAUGGCCUGGCGGCUUAUCCGCUUGUUGGUGGGGUAGUGGCUUACCAAGGCGUUGACGGGUAGCCGGCCUGAGAGAGUGAGAGGCGACAUAGGGACUGAGAUGCGGCCGAGACAGCGACGGGAGGGAGCAGUGGGAAAUAUUGCACAAUGAGUGGAAGCCUGAUGCAGCAGCUCCGUGUGCGGGAAGACGGUCUUCGGGUGGAAGACCACUUGCGCUAGUGACGAAGCUUUGUGUGACGGUAGUGGGUAAAGAAGCACCGGCUAACUACGUG